rnacentral:rRNA from 1 species
GACGAACGCUGGCGGCGUGCUUAACACAUGCAAGUCGAACGGAAAGGCCCCUUUGGGGGUACUCGAGUGGCGAACGGGUGAGUAACACGUGAGUAACCUGCCCUUGACUUCGGGAUAACUUCAGGAAACUGGGGCUAAUACCGGAUAGGAAUCCUUGCUGCAUGGUGGGGGUUGGAAAGCUUCGGCGGUUUUGGAUGGACUCGCGGCUUAUCAGCUUGUUGGUGGGGUAGUGGCUUACCAAGGCUUUGACGGGUAGCCGGCCUGAGAGGGCGACCGGCCACAGUGGGACUGAGAUACGGCCCAGACUCCUACGGGAGGCAGCAGUGGGGAAUAUUGCACAAGGGGCGGAAGCCUGAUGCAGCAACGCCGCGUGCGGGAUGACGGCCUUCGGGUUGGAAACCGCGUUCAGCAGGGGCGAAGCUUGUGGUGACGGUACCUGCAGAAGAAGCACCGGCUAACUACGUG